rnacentral:rRNA from 1 species
UGGGGAAUAUUGCACAAUGGGGGAAACCCUGAUGCAGCGACGCCGCGUGAGCGAAGAAGGUUUUCGAAUCGUAAAGCUCUGUCCUAUGAGAAGAUAAUGACGGUAUCAUAGGAGGAAGCCCCGGCUAAAUACGUGCCAGCAGCCGCGGUAAUACGUAUGGGGCGAGCGUUGUCCGGAAUUAUUGGGCGUAAAGAGCGCGUAGGCGGUCGUGCAAGUCAAUCUUAAAAGUGCGGGGCUUAACCCCGUGAUGGGAUUGAAACUGUGCGACUGGAGUAUCGGAGAGGAAAGUAGAAUUCCUAGUGUAGCGGUGGAAUGCGUAGAGAUUAGGAAGAAUACCGGUGGCGAAGGCGACUUUCUGGACGAAAACUGACGCUGAGGCGCGAAAGCGUGGGGAGCAAACAGG